UACGUAGGUGGCAAGCGUUGUCCGGAAUUAUUGGGCGUAAAGCGCGCGCAGGCGGCCUCUUUAGUCAGAUGUGAAAGCCCACGGCUUAACCGGGGAGGGCCAAUGGAAACUGGGAGGCUUGAGUAUAGGAGAGAAGAGUGGAAUUCAAAGUGUAGCGGUGAAAUGCGUAGAGAUGUGGAGGAACACCAGUUGCGAAGGCGACUCUUUGGCCUAUAACUGACGCUGAGGCGCGAAAGCAUGGGGAGCAAACAGG
rnacentral:misc_RNA from 1 species